UACAGAGGUCCCAAGCGUUGUUCGGAUUUACUGGGCGUAAAGGGUGUGUAGGCGGUAAGGAUAGUCUGACGUUAAAUAUCUGGGCUCAACCCAGACACCGCGUUGGAUACUUCUUAACUCGAGAGGCAUAGGGGGAACCGGAAUUCUCGGUGUAGCAGUGAAAUGCGUAGAUAUCGAGAGGAACGCCAGUGGCGAAAGCGGGUUCCUGGAUGCCUUCUGACGCUGAGGCACUAAAGCUGGGGGAGCAAACGGG
rnacentral:rRNA from 1 species